rnacentral:rRNA from 1 species
UGGCCGGUACAAAGGGCUGCGAUGCCGCAAGGUUAAGCGAAUCCUUUUAAAGCCGGUCUCAGUUCGGAUUGGGGUCUGCAACUCGACCCCAUGAAGUCGGAGUCGCUAGUAAUCGCAGAUCAGCAACGCUGCGGUGAAUACGUUCCCGGGCCUUGUACACACCGCCCGUCACGUCAUGAAAGUCGGUAACACCCGAAGCCAGUGGCCUAACCCUUGGGAGGGAGCUGUCGAAGGUGGGAUCGGCGAUUGGGACGAAGUCGUAACAAGGUAGCCGUACCGGAAGGUGCG